rnacentral:rRNA from 1 species
GACGAACGCUGGCGGCGUGCUUAACACAUGCAAGUCGAACGAUGAACCCGGAGCUUGCUCCGGCGGAUUAGUGGCGAACGGGUGAGUAACACGUGAGUAACCUGCCCUUGACUCUGGGAUAACUGCUAGAAAUGGUAGCUAAUACCGGAUACGACCCUCGGUGGCAUCACCAGGGGGUGGAAAGAAUUUCGGUCAAGGAUGGACUCGCGGCCUAUCAGAUAGUUGGUGAGGUAACGGCUCACCAAGGCGACGACGGGUAGCCGGCCUGAGAGGGUGACCGGCCACACUGGGACUGAGAAACGGCCCAGACUCCUACGGGAGGCAGCAGUGGGGAAUAUUGCACAAUGGGCGCAAGCCUGAUGCAGCAACGCCGCGUGAGGGAUGACGGCCUUCGGGUUGUAAACCUCUUUUAGUAGGGAAGAAGCGAAAGUGGCGGUACCUGCAGAAAAAGCACCGGCUAACUACGUGCCAGCCGCCGCCGUAA